rnacentral:rRNA from 1 species
CCUACGGGAGGCAGCAGUGAGGAAUAUUGGUCAAUGGACGAGAGUCUGAACCAGCCAAGUAGCGUGAAGGAUGACUGCCCUAUGGGUUGUAAACUUCUUUUAUAUGGGAAUAAAAUGUUCCACGUGUGGGAUUUUGUAUGUACCAUAUGAAUAAGGAUCGGCUAACUCCGUGCCAGCAGCCGCGGUAAUACGGAGGAUCCGAGCGUUAUCCGGAUUUAUUGGGUUUAAAGGGAGCGUAGGUGGAUUGUUAAGUCAGUUGUGAAAGUUUGCGGCUCAACCGUAAAAUUGCAGUUGAAACUGGCAGUCUUGAGUACAGUAGAGGUGGGCGGAAUUCGUGGUGUAGCGGUGAAAUGCUUAGAUAUCACGAAGAACUCCGAUUGCGAAGGCAGCUCACUGGACUGCAACUGACGCUCAUGCACGAAAGCGUGGGUAUCGAACAGGAUUAGAUACCCUUGUAGUC